rnacentral:lncRNA from 1 species
CAUGGAAGCAAAUUUGUCCUUUUAUGGGAUAAUAAGUUUCCUUAGUUUCAUGUUUCAAAAGCUUCAUUUACGUUUCAACGCAAUACAAUUGCAUGAAAAGAGGAAUGUGUUUCCAAUAGAAUUAAAAUCCUUAAAAGUGUCUUUAUAACUGGUGUUUAUGCUGUAAACAGAGGGAAGGAUGGUUUUAUUUGGCCUCUGAUACACUUACGGAGAAAUAGUUGCCUCCAGAACCCCGCGUAUAGUUUGCAUACUAAUCAUUUUUGUAAUUGAUCUUUUCAGCUUUUUUCAUGCACUGUGGAAGGUUGUCAGAUGCCUCUUUGAAGUUAACUAAUGAUCGUGCGAGCAAAGAGUCUGCAGUGGGAGCCAGGUCUCUGGCGUUGUAGCAGCACAGCUUCCACAUGCUGGCGCUCUUCCGUUACCUUGUGGGAUUUUUUCAGGACAGCACUGGAAAGCAAGGGGGGAAGUGGAAGAAUGGAAGUGAUCAGCUUGCAGCUCGGCACCACUGUAAAGUGUUGCACAUUGCACGUGUCCCUUCUGAAAGAGGCAGCCUUGUCUGAGAGCCAAGAUCCAGGUGAAUUCUUGGGAGCGAGCCGCAAGCCAGAGCUUAGGGCAGCGGGAGGCGCCAAGCUGGACAAAUGA